rnacentral:rRNA from 1 species
UACGUAGGGGGCAAGCGUUGUCCGGAAUCAUUGGGCGUAAAGAGCGUGUAGGCGGCUUGGUAAGUCCGCUGUGAAAGUCCAGGGCUCAACCCUGGAAUGCCGGUGGAAACUGUCAAGCUUGAGUCCGGAAGAGGCGAGUGGAAUUCCUGGUGUAGCGGUGAAAUGCGCAGAUAUCAGGAGGAACCCCAAUGGCGAAGGCAGCUCGCUGGGACGGUACUGACGCUGAGACGCGAAAGCGUGGGGAGCAAACAGG